ensembl:lncRNA
AAUUAGGCCAGCGUCUAAACAACGUAAAAUCUACUAUUAAACCUGCACCAAGCGGCUCCCCAUCCCAGACAGUGGAAAAGCUAUUUUUUAAAAAACAGCGAUGAACCAAUCUCUUCCGAGACCGACGGCGAUGAACCAAUCUCUUCCGAGACCGACGGCGAUGAACCAAUCUCUUCCGAGACCGACGGCGAUGAACCAAUCUCUUCCGAGACCGACGGCGAUGAACCAAUCUCUUCCGAGACCGACGGCGAUGAACCAAUCUCUUCUGAGAUCGACGGCGAUGAACCAAUCUCUUCCGAGACCGACGGUGAUGAACCAAAUUAAAACAGGCUGGUGUUUUCACUACACUACUCUCUAAUCUAUCUUCUCCCUCAAGGUCUGAACGGCGAAAACCUGCUAAAAUUGCUUCUAAAUUAAGUCUAACACAGAAAUCAUGAUUUAGACAAGUCAAACUAGAAGGCAAUCAAACCCUUAAUACAACGAUUAUCCUUAUUUAAAAGAAAGCAGAUAAUCUCCUCCUCCUUGGAUUUAGUCUCCUUAAAGAGGAUCCUUUGACUAAUUGCUCUUGUUAAUCAAGCUUUAGGUUUAAUUGUUGACAAGAGAUCCACUUGGAUGACUUAAGAGUGUAAAAAAAAAAAAAAAUCCCAUCUCAAAACAAAAUCUCUCCCCAAUCUAGGGGCUGCUAGGAUAGAUAACAUCUUGAAAUGAAGUGAGAGCUGAUUAAAAGGCAUCCUAAGAGAUCUUGUUUGUGUCCCAAAAUGGCACCCCGUUCCCUAUAGAUGACCUGGAGCCCCUUGUGAACAGUAUUGCACUUCCUAGAGAAUAAGAUGUUAUUUGGGAUACCUAGGGGGUUUCGGGGUUCACUGAUAGACAGACUGCUGAAUAGGAUGUUAUUUGGGAUACCUAGGGGGUUUCGGGGUUCACUGAUAGACUGCUGAAUAGGAUGUUAUUUGGGAUACCUAGGGGUUUCGGGGUUCACUGAUAGACAGACUGCUGAAUAGGAUGUUAUUUGGGAUACCUAGGGGGUUUCGGGGUUCACUGA